UACGGAGGGUGCAAGCAUUAAUCGGAUUAAUUGGGCGUAAAGGGCGAGUAGGCGGUCUGGUAAGUCAAUGGUGAAAUUUCAAAGCUCAACUUUGAAGCUGCCAUAGAAACUGCCAGACUAGAGGAUGGACGGAGAAAACGGAAUUCCACGUGUAGCGGUGAAAUGCGUAGAUAUGUGGAGGAACACCGGUGGCGAAGGCGGUUUUCUAGUUUAAACCUGACGCUGAGGCGCGAAGGCAAGGGGAGCAAACAGG
rnacentral:rRNA from 1 species